rnacentral:rRNA from 1 species
CGUAGGGUGCGAGCGUUAAUCGGAAUUACUGGGCGUAGAGCGUGCGCAGGCGGCGCCGCAAGUCGAGUGUGAAAUCCCCGAGCUUAACUUGGGAAUUGCGCUCGAAACUACGGUGCUGGAGUGUGGCAGAGGGAGGUGGAAUUCCACGUGUAGCGGUGAAAUGCGUAGAGAUGUGGAGGAACACCGAUGGCGAAGGCAGCCUCCUGGGCCAACACUGACGCUCAUGCACGAAAGCGUGGGGAGCAAACAGGAUUAGAUACCCUGGUAGUCCACGCCCUAAACGAUGAUGACUAGUUGUUGGGGGAGUUAAAUCCCUUAGUAACGCAGCUAACGCGUGAAGUCAUCCGCCUGGGGAGUACGGUCGCAAGAUUA